GACGUAGGGCGCGAGCGUUGUCCGGAUUUAUUGGGCGUAAAGAGCUCGUAGGCGGCUUGUCGCGUCGUCCGUGAAAACCCACGGCUUAACUGUGGGCUUGCGGUCGAUACGGGCAGGCUCGAGUUCGGUAGGGGAGACUGGAAUUCCUGGUGUAGCGGUGAAAUGCGCAGAUAUCAGGAGGAACACCGGUGGCGAAGGCGGGUCUCUGGGCCGAUACUGACGCUGAGGAGCGAAAGCGUGGGGAGCGAACAGG
rnacentral:rRNA from 1 species